UGCUCGGUGAUUAGAGCCAAUUACAUUGGCAAUAUACGCUACACUAACUUUAUUUUGAUGAAAAGUUUGUAUAUGAGAGCU